rnacentral:sRNA from 1 species
AACUAGCCCUGAUUGCAGCGGCAUCCUUUUUUGCGUGGGAAGAAACGUGAAACUUCGGAAGGGGUCUGCCGCAAAAAAGAUACAGCGGAAAGCAGGUUUCCGG